rnacentral:snRNA from 1 species
GGCUAUGAAGGCAAUCUGGCUGCAACAUCUGUCAUACUAUUAAUUGCCAGGGUUCGUGCAGUGCAUCUGGCUGGCUAGGGGGGUGUCCACUUCCUUUCUCACUGCUCCAUGUGUGCUCCUCCGAAAGCUGUGUGCUAAGUAAAAGAGGAUGACCAUCGCUGAUGGAGGAGGACCUGUCUUCAGUCAAGGGUAUGUGAGUAGCUGGGCUCCCCUGCUAGAACCUCCAAACAAGCUCUCAAGAAGAGAAAAUUCAACCACAUAAUAUUAUUCUUCAU